UAGGGAAUCUUCGGCAAUGGGGGCAACCCUGACCGAGCAACGCCGCGUGAGUGAAGAAGGUUUUCGGAUCGUAAAGCUCUGUUGUAAGAGAAGAACGUGUGUGAGAGUGGAAAGUUCACACAGUGACGGUAACUUACCAGAAAGGGACGGCUAACUACGUGCCAGCAGCCGCGGUAAUACGUAGGUCCCGAGCGUUGUCCGGAUUUAUUGGGCGUAAAGCGAGCGCAGGCGGUUUAAUAAGUCUGAGGUUAAAGGCAGUGGCUUAACCAUUGUUCGCUUUGGAAACUGUUAAACUUGAGUGCAGAAGGGGAGAGUGGAAUUCCAUGUGUAGCGGUGAAAUGCGUAGAUAUAUGGAGGAACACCGGUGGCGAAAGCGGCUCUCUGGUCUGUAACUGACGCUGAGGCUCGAAAGCGUGGGGAGCAAACAGG
rnacentral:rRNA from 1 species